ACUCAAAUGAAUAGACGGGGGCCCGCACAAGCGGCGGAGCAUGCGGAUUAAUUCGAUGCAACGCGAAGAACCUUACCAAGGCUUGACAUACACGGAAAACUCACAGAGAUGUGGGGUCCGCAAGGGCCGUGUACAGGUGGUGCAUGGUUGUCGUCAGCUCGUGUCGUGAGAUGUUGGGUUAAGUCCCGCAACGAGCGCAACCCUUAUUCGAUGUUGCCAGCACGUUAUGGUGGGGACUCAUCGGAGACUGCCGGGGUCAACUCGGAGGAAGGUGGGGAUGAGGUCAAAUCAUCAUGCCCCUUAUGUCUUGGGCUUCACGCAUGCUACAAUGGCCGGUACAAAGGGCUGCGAAACCGUGAGGUGGAGCGAAUCCCAAAAAGCCGGUCUCAGUUCGGAUCGGGGUCUGCAACUCGACCCCGUGAAGUCGGAGUCGCUAGUAAUCGCAGAUCAGCAACGCUGCGGUGAAUACGUUCCCGGGCCUUGUACACACCGCCGU
rnacentral:rRNA from 1 species